GAUCCUGGCUCAGGAUGAACGCUGGCGGCGUGCUUAACACAUGCAAGUCGAACGGGAAACCUUUUAUUGAAGCUUCGGCAGAUUUAGAUUGUUUCUAGUGGCGGACGGGUGAGUAACGCGUGGGUAACCUGCCUUGUACAGGGGGAUAACAGUCAGAAAUGACUGCUAAUACCGCAUAAGCGCACAGGACCGCAUGGUCCGGUGUGAAAAACUCCGGUGGUAUAAGAUGGACCCGCGUUGGAUUAGCUAGUUGG
rnacentral:rRNA from 1 species